rnacentral:rRNA from 1 species
CGCGGACUUCGGUCUGGCGGCGAGUGGCGAACGGGUGAGUAAUAUAUCGGAACGUACCCAAGAGUGGGGGAUAACGUAGCGAAAGUUACGCUAAUACCGCAUACGAUCUAAGGAUGAAAGCAGGGGAUCUUCGGACCUUGUGCUCCUGGAGCGGCCGAUAUCUGAUUAGCUAGUUGGUGAGGUAAAGGCUCACCAAGGCAACGAUCAGUAGCUGGUCUGAGAGGACGACCAGCCACACUGGAACUGAGACACGGUCCAGACUCCUACGGGAGGCAGCAGUGGGGAAUUUUGGACAAUGGGGGCAACCCUGAUCCAGCAAUGCCGCGUGAGUGAAGAAGGCCUUCGGGUUGUAAAGCUCUUUUGUCAGGGAAGAAAAGGGUCUGGCUAAUAUCCAGAUCUGCUGACGGUACCUGAAGAAUAAGCACCGGCUAACUACGUGCCAGCAGCCGCGGUAAUACGUAGGGUGCAAGCGUUAAUCGGAAUUACUGGGCGUAAAGCGUGCGCAGGCGGUUUUGUAAGUCUGUCGUGAAAUCCCCGGGCUUAACCUGGGAAUGGCGAUGGAGACUGCAAGGCUAGAGUUUGGCAGAGGGGGGUAGAAUUCCACGUGUAGCAGUGAAAUGCGUAGAGAUGUGGAGGAACACCGAUGGCGAAGGCAGCCCCCUGGGUCAAAACUGACGCUCAUGCACGAAAGCGUGGGGAGCAAACAGGAUUAGAUACCCUGGUAGUCCACGCCCUAAACGAUGUCUACUAGUUGUUGGGUCUUAAUUGACUUAGUAACGCAGCUAACGCGUGAAGUAGACCGCCUGGGGAGUACGGUCGC